rnacentral:piRNA from 1 species
AGAAAUAAAAAGGAAAGGACAUGACUGC